AGAGCGAACGCUGGCGGCAGGCUUAACACAUGCAAGUCGAGCGGGCGUAGCAAUACGUCAGCGGCAGACGGGUGAGUAACGCGUGGGAACGUACCUUUUGGUUCGGAACAACCCAGGGAAACUUGGGCUAAUACCGGAUAAGCCCUUACGGGGAAAGAUUUAUCGCCGAAAGAUCGGCCCGCGUCUGAUUAGCUAGUUGGUGAGGUAAUGGCUCACCAAGGCGACGAUCAGUAGCUGGUCUGAGAGGAUGAUCAGCCACAUUGGGACUGAGACACGGCCCAAACUCCUACGGGAGGCAGCAGUGGGGAAUAUUGGACAAUGGGCGCAAGCCUGAUCCAGCCAUGCCGCGUGAGUGAUGAAGGCCCUAGGGUUGUAAAAGCUUCUUUGUGCGGGAAGAUAAUGACGGUACCGCAAGAAUAAGCCCGGACUAACUUCGCGCCAGCAGCCGC
rnacentral:rRNA from 1 species